UUUAUAUUUUUAAGACAUCGGAUGUCGUCAACAAUAAAUUUCUGAAGGAGACAAUUGCUCCUAACAUGAUCGUUCAAUGAUUCAGAACACAAGACAACAAAGAAGUACAUAACAUAUAUUAUAUAUAUGGAAGCUAGAGAGUAUAUAUAAUGUUGCAUGACUGAUAUAAGAAAAUAUAUAAUGUGUAUGUAAAGUGGUUUAUGAUUCACAAGUUAGUUUUCUACUUAGUAACAGCUUCUUCAAGCUCUCUUAAGCCACCAACCUUCUGUUCAAUUUCUUCGAUAAGUUCUUCACGCCAUAGCUCCGCUCUUGCUUUCUCUUCUAUGUCUUCUUGCUGCAUCAUAUAACCCAAAACACAAUAACAACUCUAUCCAAUCUUAUAAUAGUUGUACACAUUGUGAAUCUGUGAUGAUAUACCAAAGGUCAAUGGCCCGAGCAAGCCCAGCCCGACCCAACUUAGGAUCAAUGUUACCUACCAUCAGAUCUGUUAACGUUUGAAUUAUUAUAUCAAGCCCAACCCGGCUCAAACUUACUAAGCAUGAUUGAUCUAUCAAUAGGAUGGAUCAAUGUUACCUACCAUCUAUCAGAUUGUGACUUUCGUUUAGAUGAUCAAGGUUGUGGAUUCAUAUUUUUGGGUGCAUAUAUACCAACGGUAAACGCUAACCUAAAAGCCACCUAUUUUUCUUUGUUUAGGGAGGUUUAUCGCAUGCUGAGACACAUGGAGGAGUACUCAAAACCGGCUCUGAACAGGUCUACAUGGCCUACUAAGACCAAGGUGGGAUAGUCUGAGGUCAAACUAGAUCUGAACUGGUCCACAGGGUCUAGUAAGACCACAGCGGGUUGGUCGGUCCAUUGCAACAUCCCUAGUUAUAAUUUGUAUGCAUUUCUAAGUUUUUUUCUUUCUUUCCUAAUAGUAUUAGAAAGGGAGAGAUACAUACAGUUUCAUAGACCCAAUAUCCAG